GUCUGGGUACAUAAUAUAAAACAAAAAGUUAAAAAUUGCUUUGAGGGAUUUUUCUUUAAACAUAAUAAAUUCAAAAUAUAAUUAUAUAUUGUGUGAAUGCAUAACUACAGGAAAAGAGCUUCACACUGCAGGGGGUAGAUCAUACUAUUGUUACUGGUGAAAUUUUGGAAAGAAAAAUCAUAUUAAACGGAGCAGAAUCCAGUAGAUUUUUUGACAUUUCAGUCUGAAUUUGUGAAAGUGAUGGUAUAUCACUAUGGAGUGUACAAAAUGUGGUGAACCUGUUGGGGAGGCUGUCAACUUUUGCGGAAAGUGUGGUGCACCUGUCAACCUAGAAAACCAGCCAAAACCAGAUGUGCUGUCAAAAGAAAUGAAAUGCAAACAUGAUGUAAGAGUACUACUUGUUGGACAUACUGGCCAUGGCAAAAGUGCACUGGGAACUCGCUUCUGGGUAUCACAAGACAAGAAGGAUUUCAUGACGAAUUGAGCCAAGUUUCUGUUACACAGGAGUAUAAGAGGCUGGUACAAGAAAGAUUUGGAAGAAAAUUAGAAGUUGUGGACACUCCUGGAGUUUUUGAUACAUCCUUUGAUCAACAAUUUGUGUAUGAACAAAUUUACCAGUGUAUAGGGCUGACAUUACCUGGUUUCAAUGCUAUCUGCUUAGUACUGCGCCCAGAUCGCUUUACUAAAGAAUUGGUUCAAACAGUGGAAAUUUUCUUCAAAUUGUUUGGGAAAGGUGUUGAUGAAUAUGCAUUUGUCAUUUUUACCCACAUGGAAACAGAAGCAGAAAUGAAAAACUACAUUAGAGGAGGGGAAAAAAAGUCUGAAGAUGAUGGACAAAAAGCAUUUGAAGUGCUCCGAAAACGAUGUCAAGACAAAAUGUUAUUCAUUGAUAACAAAGCUUCCAAAGAUAUUAAAGAAGAAAUGGUUUGGAAUAUCUUAACAGCAGUUGAUGAAGCUAAUGCCAAAGCAUCAAGGCCAUACUUUGUAAACAAAAUCACUAGAAACUUGGCACAAAAAGCUACAGACUUUUAUAUGAUACAUGUUUGUGGAUUGGGAUCUGAGCGGUCCAAAGAAGAUAUAAGAAUUCUCCUGAUUGGACUUUCUGGCCAUGGAAAAAGUGCAACCGGGAACUCCCUUCUUGGCAAAAGCAUGUUUACUGAAAAUGAUCCCUCAGAGAAAAAUGCACACCAACAAACACCA